rnacentral:lncRNA from 1 species
UUUAAGAAACUUUCCCCCCUCUUCAGUUAUUCGGCCUAAGUCCGACAUCGGCCGGUCAUCGGCCACCGGCGGCAGCACUGUCGUAUGCGGUGGUCGGAGAGCCAAAAAUUUCAGAUCUUACCCUUCUAAAGCCUGUAAACUCGAAUCUAACCCCGAAAUUGCCAAAAUAUUGAUGGAGAGGGCCCAGAUCUCGAGAAAACCUUUCGGUUUUCGGCCGUCAAUCCUCAGUGACGACUUCCUCGACCGUCUGCGGCGGUUAGGACUCGAAUACAGGUUAUUUCUUUCCUUUUGUAUUUAUAUUAUUUAUAAAUGAUAAAAAUAAAUAGAUAUAGCGGAAAAAAUAAAAUAGAAAUACAAGUAUCAACCUUUAAUCGACUAUGCUCUCUGUAUUGCGAAAGUAAAAGCCUCGGUUUUUAUUUGAUUUUUCCAAAAUCCCUUAUUACAGUGCAUUAAUAGCUUUUUAUAGCCGAAUGAAAAGAUAAAUCGAAAUCAAGAAACAAAUCUUGUUUGAUUCGAUUUACGAAUCUUUGAUUUUCUUUCUAUCUUUGUUGUUUUAUUUCUUUCCUUGUUGUUUUGUUUCCUUGCAGGUGAAGAUCAUGGAAAUCCGGAGCUUGGCUAGGUGGCUGCGGCGCGA